rnacentral:rRNA from 1 species
UGUAUAGUUAAUCUGCCCUUCAGAGGGGAAUAACUACUGGAAACGGUAGCUAAUACCCCAUACUCCUUUACCUUAAUGGUAAUUGGGAAAUGUCUUUUCGUCUGAAGGAUGAGACUAUAUGGUAUCAGGUAGUUGGUGGGGUAAGAGCCUACCAAGCCAAUGACGCCUAGCUGGUCUGAGAGGAUGAUCAGCCACACUGGAACUGAGACACGGUCCAGACUCCUACGGGAGGCAGCAGUGGGGAAUAUUGCACAAUGGAGGAAACUCUGAUGCAGCAACGCGCGUGGAGGAUGACGCAUUUCGGUGUGUAAAACUCCUUUUAUAUGGGAAGAUAAUGACGGGUACCAUAUGAAUAAAGCACCGGGCUAACUCCGUGCCAGCUGCUGC